GUGUCAGCAGCCGCGGUAAUACGUAGGGAGCGAGCGUUAUCCGGAUUUAUUGGGUGUAAAGGGUGCGUAGGCGGGCGUUCAAGUUGAAUGUGAAAUCCACCGGCUCAACUGGUGGGCUGCGUUCAAAACUGAAUGUCUUGAGUAUGGUAGAGGCAAGCGGAAUUCCCAGUGUAGCGGUAAAAUGCGUAGAGAUUGGGAGGAACACCAGUGGCGAAGGCGGCUUGCUGGGCCAAAACUGACGCUGAGGCACGAAAGUGUGGGGAGCAAACAGGAUUAGAUACCCUGGUAGUCCACACUGUAAACGAUGAUUACUAGGUGUAGGGGGACUGACCCCUUCUGUGCCGGAGUUAACACAAUAAGUAAUCCACCUGAGUAGUACGGCCGCAAGGUUGAA
rnacentral:rRNA from 1 species